AAGUCGACGGCAGCACGGGCUUCGGCCUGGUGGCGAGUGGCGAACGGGUAGUAAUACAUCGGAACGUACCCAGAAGUGGGGAUAACGUAGCGAAAGUUACGCUUAAUACCGCAUACGUUCUACGGAAGAAAGUGGGGGAUCGCAAGACCUCAUGCUUUUGGAGCGGCCGAUGUCUCAUUAGCUAGUUGGUGAGGUAAAGGCUCACCAAGGCGACGAUCAGUAGCUGGUCUGAGAGGACGCCGCCCCUGGAACUGAGACACGGUCCAGACUCCUACGGGAGGCAGCAGUGGGGAAUUUUGGACAAUGGGCGCAAGCCUGAUCCAGCAAUGCCGCGUGAGUGAAGAAGGCCUUCGGGUUGUAAAGCUCUUUUGUCAGGGAAGAAACGGCGGGGCUAAUAUCCUUUGCUAAUGACGG
rnacentral:rRNA from 1 species